UUUAAUUAAAUUAUUUUUAUAAUUUAAUAAAAAUAUUUUUAUUUUAUUAAUUAUUAAGAAAAAUUUUUUUUAAUUAUAGUUUAUUAUUAAUGUGAAUGAAAUUUUAAAAAUUUUUAAAAGAAGAAUUAAUUUUUUGUACCUUUUGUAUCAGGGUUGAUUAAAUUAAAAUCAUUUAAAUGAUUUUCUCGAAUUUAAAAGGGCUAAUUAAUUAUUUAUUUAUUUGUAAUAUAAAAUUUUAAAAUAAUUAAUUUGAAAUGAAAUUUUAUUCGUUUUUAAAUAUAUCUAGUUUUUUAAGAAAAGAAUUUAAUUCUAUUAUUAUUUAUUUAAAGAUUAAUUUUUAAUUUUUAAGUUUUAAUAUUUAAUAUUUAAUGGGAUGAGCUUUUAUUUAAAGUUUUAAAAAUUUUAUUUUAUUAAUAUUUUGUAUAAUUUGAAUUGUUAAUCAUAGUUAUAAUUUAAUAGUUAUUUAUUUUUUAAUUAUUAAUUUAUAUAAAUUUUAAAUUUUUUAUUAAAAAUUAAUUUUAUAUUUUAUAUUAUUAGUUAUUAUGAUUAAAUUAGUAAAUUUGUUAUUUAAAGAUAAAAAAAGAAUUAGUUUAUGAAAAGGAAUUCGGCAAAUUAAUUUUCUGCCUGUUUAUUAAAAACAUGUCCUUUUGAAAAUAAUUUAAGGUCUAAUCUGCUCAGUGAAAAUUAAAUAGCCGCAGUAUUUUAACUGUGCAAAGGUAGCAUAAUAAAUAGUUUUUUAAUUGAAAUCUGGAAUGAAUGAUUGGACAAGAAAAUAUCUGUCUCUUUAUAAAUUGUUUUUGAAUUUAAUUUUUAAGUUAAAAAGCUUAAAUGUUUUUAAAAGACGAGAAGACCCUAUAGAGUUUUAUUUAUUUUAAUUAAUUUAGAAUUUAAUUUUUAACAAUAAAUUUGGUUGGGGUGAUUAAAAGAUUUAAUAAACUCUUUUAUUUUUUAUCAUUGAUUUAUGAAUUUUGAAUCUUUAUUUUAAAAUUUUAAAUUAAAUUACCUUAGGGAUAACAGCGUAAUUUUUUUUUAAAGUUCUUAUUGAAAGAAAAGUUUGCGACCUCGAUGUUGGAUUAAAAUUUAUUUUUGGUGUAGAAGCUGAAAUAUUAAGUCUGUUCGACUUUUAAAAUUUUACAUGAUCUGAGUUUAAACCGGUGUGAGCCAGGUUGGUUUCUAUCUUUAAUUUAAUAAAAUAUUUUAGUACGAAAGGACCAAAUAUUUAAUAAUUUAUUUAUAUUUGAAUAUU
rnacentral:rRNA from 1 species